ACCUGGCUGGCUCAGUUGGUAGAGCAGGCGACUCCUGAUCUCUCUCUGGGUUGUGAGUUCAAGCCCCAUGUUGGGUG
rnacentral:tRNA from 1 species